rnacentral:rRNA from 1 species
CAGCCGCCGCGGUAAUACGGAGGGUGCAAGCGUUAAUCGGAAUUACUGGGCGUAAAGCGCACGCAGGCGGUUUGUUAAGUCAGAUGUGAAAUCCCCGAGCUUAACUUGGGAACUGCAUUUGAAACUGGCAAGCUAGAGUCUUGUAGAGGGGGGUAGAAUUCCAGGUGUAGCGGUGAAAUGCGUAGAGAUCUGGAGGAAUACCGGUGGCGAAGGCGGCCCCCUGGACAAAGACUGACGCUGAGGCACGAAAGCGUGGGGAGCAAACAGGAUUAGAUACCCCUGUAGUCCCUGUCUCUUAUAC